AAGUCGUAACAAGGUUUCCGUAGGUGAACCUGCGGAAGGAUCAUUACCUAGAGUUGCGGGCUUUGCCUGCCAUCUCUUACCCAUGUCUUUUGAGUACCUUACGUUUCCUCGGCGGGUCCGCCCGCCGACUGGACAAUUUAAACCACUUGCAGUUGCAAUCAGCGUCUGAAAAAACUUAAUAGUUACAACUUUCAACAACGGAUCUCUUGGUUCUGGCAUCGAUGAAGAACGCAGCGAAAUGCGAUAAGUAGUGUGAAUUGCAGAAUUCAGUGAAUCAUCGAAUCUUUGAACGCACAUUGCGCCCCUUGGUAUUCCAUGGGGCAUGCCUGUUCGAGCGUCAUUUGUACCUUCAAGCCUUGCUUGGUGUUGGGUGUUUGUCUCGCCUCUGCGCGUAGACUCGCCUCAAAACAAUUGGCAGCCGGCGUAUUGAUUUCGGAGCGCAGUACAUCUCGCGCUUUGCACUCAGAACGACGACGUCCAAAAGUACAUUUUUACACUCUUGACCUCGGAUCAGGUAGGGAUACCCGCUGAACUUAA
rnacentral:rRNA from 1 species